rnacentral:rRNA from 1 species
CCUACGGGCGGCAGCAGUCGAGAAUCAUUCACAAUGGGGGAAACCCUGAUGGUGCGACGCCGCGUGGGGGAAUGAAGGUCUUCGGAUUGUAAACCCCUGUCAUGUGGGAGCAAAUUAAAAAGAUAGUACCACAAGAGGAAGAGAAGGCUAACUCUGUGCCAGCAGCCGCGGUAAUACAGAGGUCUCAAGCGUUGUUCGGAAUCACUGGGCGUAAAGCGUGCGUAGGCUGUUUCGUAAGUCGUGUGUGAAAGGUGCGGGCUCAACCCGCGGACGGCACAUGAUACUGCGAGACUAGAGUAAUGGAGGGGGAACCGGAAUUCUCGGUGUAGCAGUGAAAUGCGUAGAUAUCGAGAGGAACACUCGUGGCGAAGGCGGGUUCCUGGACAUUAACUGACGCUGAGGCACGAAGGCCAGGGGAGCGAAAGGGAUUAGAUACCCUUGUAGUC